UACGGAGGAUGCGAGCGUUAUCCGGAUUUAUUGGGUUUAAAGGGUGCGUAGGCGGCUUAGUAAGUCAGCGGUGAAAUUUUGCAGCUUAACUGUAACAGUGCCGUUGAUACUGCCAGGCUAGGAUUUGGUUGCUGUGGGUGGAAUGUGUGGUGUAGCGGUGAAAUGCUUAGAGAUCACACAGAAUAUCGAUUGCGAAGGCAGCUCACAAAGCCAAGAUUGACGCUGAGGCACGAAAGUGUGGGGAUCAAA
rnacentral:rRNA from 1 species